rnacentral:lncRNA from 1 species
GUUUUGCAUUGACUUUGUAAGUUUCAUAACUUCUAUUUAUAUAGUUGAUAUUGCAUCAUUAUUUGCACUUUGUCAAAUGGGGUCAUCUGAUAUAUCAAAUUGAAGGUCUUAAUAAACUCUACUUAAAAAUGAAAAUUUUAAACCCCCUUUUCAUCCCAGGGGGACGGGUUGGGUCAUUUAGUGCAAACAUUCAAAUUUCUCAGAUGGUAAGGUUGUCGCAUAUCAAAUGAAAGAACAUAAAGCGUACAUUUCAAAUUUCAAAUUGACGUCUCCCAAAAAUGGGCUGGAUGGGGUCAUUGAGUGCAAACAAUAAAUUUUCUUUUAAGGUAGAAUUGUUGUAUAUCAAAUGAAAGGUCAUGAUGUGUACAUUUGAAAUAUCAAAUUCCCGACCUACAAAAUUUAGUUCGAUAGGGUUAUUAAGUGCAAAAAUCAAUCUUUCUAGAACAUGGCGUUGUCGCAUAUCAAAUGAAAGC